AACUAAUUUACAAGAAAAAGUUAAAGCGAACGUUCGAUUUGUUUUCAAUAUAGAUAAUUUUAUAACGGGUUCUCUCGAGCGUUGCCGAGGCGGCAUGCCAUCGGUCAUGUCAUUCGGCGUUAGACUGCGAGGUAGUUGUUAAUACGUAAUGAACUUUGAACUACGAGAAUAUUAAUUUGCCUAUUUCUUUUGUAAAACGCGUUAAUAAGAUUAAUCUGGAUCCUGAUUCAAUAUUAAUAUAAUCAGCAUAAUAAUCAAUUGGAAAUACACUGGAGAAAUCCCCGUCUUAGGGGACCCUGCUCCGCAUUGCGAAGACCCUACUCCGCAUUGUCUCCACUCUCCACCCGCUUGCCACGCGAAGACCCUGCUCCGCAUUGUCUCCACCCGCUUGUCACGCGAAGACCCUCGCCUUGUUCCACGGUUGCCAGGGGAGUAGUCCAUCAAUCCCUUGAGUGGCAGUAUCAUUUUAUUUAAGGCCAUUAUACCACGUCCCUUACAAA